UCCUGUCCUGGCUUCCCAUGGAGAUGGACUUUCAGCUAUAAGGUGAAUUAAAUCCAUUUCUGUCCAAAUUGCUUUUGUUCAUGGUGUUUGACCACAGCAAUAGAAAGCCUAAGUGAGACAAACAUUAAGAGGCUCAAUACCAUCUGCCCAGGCUUCGUAAUGCCCAUAGUGAGCUAGGCCCUUCUUUUACGAUCUUUAAUCAUGAAAAUGUUUCACAGACCAGUAUGACAGAGAUAUUUUCUCAAUCAAAGUUCCCACUUCCCUGAUGACUCGAGCUUGUGUCAAGUUGACAAAAAAAAAUCAGUGCCACAGUGAUGUCCUGCCCAAGUGCAUAAAGCCAAUCAGCUAUGUGCAAGCCCUCUGAAACCACAAGCCAAAGAAACCCUUCUGACUUGUAAGAAACCACAAGCCAAAGAAACCCUUCUGACUUGAAGUAAACUUAAUUGCACGGAACGGAGCCCAUGCAAGUUGAAACUACUCAGUGUUCUGCCUGCAUGCAUGCCUGCAAGUCAG